UAGGGAAUCUUCCGCAAUGGACGCAAGUCUGACGGAGCAACGCCGCGCGAGUGAAGAAGGAUUUCGGUUCGUAAAACUCUGUUGUUAGAGAAGAACAGCGCAUAGAGUAACUGUUAUGCGUGUGACGGUAUCUAACCAGAAAGCCACGGCUAACUACGUGCCAGCAGCCGCGGUAAUACGUAGGUGGCAAGCGUUGUCCGGAUUUAUUGGGCGUAAAGCGAGCGCAGGCGGUCAAUUAAGUCUGAUGUGAAAGCCCCCGGCUCAACCGGGGAGGGUCAUUGGAAACUGGUUGACUUGAGUGCAGAAGAGGAGAGUGGAAUUCCAUGUGUAGCGGUGAAAUGCGUAGAUAUAUGGGGGAACACCAGUGGCGAAGGCGACUCUCUGGUCUGUAACUGACGCUGAGGCUCGAAAGCGUGGGUAGCAAACAGG
rnacentral:rRNA from 1 species